GCUAUCUCUACACCCCUAUAACUACGGUUUUAUAGAAAAAACGUAGUGUAUUCGUAUAGACUACGCUUUUUUUGGUGAACCGUAGUGUAUGAGCGCCAUUUUUAAAUUUUAGACUACACUGGAGAACAAAACGUAGUCCGAUGUGUAGUCUAUAGUAGUCUAUUACUACGAUUUCCAUAAAACGUAGUGUAUGAGCGUGACUUUGAUGUUUAUCUCUACACGUUAUGAAUUACCGUAGUGUAUGAGCGUGUCUCCUCUUCUCUACUUAUGGUGCCCCACCCUCGCAAACCCUACCACUACCACCAAAGGAAGACACAAUAUUAUCACUACCGUGCCUCUCUCUCUCAACCAAACCAAGACCGUGAGACACCGCCGACGAGCAGGAGCAACUAGUUUCCUCGCCGCCGUGCCUCAAUUCUCGCCGUUGUGCCUCCGUUCUUGCUGCCGUGCCUCCGUUCUUGUCGCCAAGGUUUAGAGGAUGUGUUACAUGAAAGAAAUUAUUGAAGAGCUUAUGAAGAAUGGUCGCUUUUGCCUAUACAUUCACAUGAUAUUGAUGAAGUUCGUGUUGAGUGGGUGAAUCUCAUUCUUAGUCACAUAUAAAAAGUAGAGGAUAUGCGGGAAAUGAAGCAAAAACAUGAGACUUUCGCUGAAUUUUCCAUGAAGAUUCUUCAACAAUAGACUACUAGAUAUUGUUUUGAAAAAAAAAUAUUGUACUCUUUGUUUUGUAUAUUUAAUCUCUUGUCGUUGUUAGCUUCAUUUCAGUGUACAUUAACAGAAUAUGAAAUAUUGUGAAAUUAUAUAUGACAAUUAUAAUUUUUUAGUGUAUCAAUAUUUGUAUUUCAUUUUUUGUUAAUUUUAAAUAAAAUAACAAUAAUUUUUAGUUGACGAUAGCCAACCACUACGACAAUAGGCGUAGAGUAAGAUCACUAAAAGUGUAGUCUUUAAAUACUAUAGACUACCAUUUCUAGUUGACAAACCGUAGUCUAUUCUUCCAAUACACUACAAUU